rnacentral:sRNA from 1 species
AGCGUUAGCGAGAAAGCGUUGCCGCAGGCAACGACCCGAAGGGCGAAGCGCGCAGCGCUGAGUAAUCCUUCCCCCACCACCA